rnacentral:rRNA from 1 species
GGAGUUAGCCGGUGCUUCUUCUGUGAGUGAUGUCCUUCCUGCCGGUUAUUGACCCGCAGGCCUUCUUCCUCACUGAAAGUGCUUUACAACCCGAAGGCCUUCUUCACACACGCGGCAUGGCUGGAUCAGGGUUGCCCCCAUUGUCCAAUAUUCCCCACUGCUGCCUCCCGUAGGAGUCUGGGCCGUGUCUCAGUCCCAGUGUGGCUGAUCAUCCUCUCAGACCAGCUACGGAUCGUCGCCUUGGUGAGCCGUUACCUCACCAACCAGCUAAUCCGACAUAGGCUCAUCCGAUAGCGCGAGGCCCGAAGGUCCCCCGCUUUCCCCCGUAGGGCGUAUGCGGUAUUAGCCUGGGUUUCCCCAGGUUAUCCCCCACUACCGGGCAGAUUCCUAUGCAUUACUCACCCGUCCGCCGCUCGCCACCAGGGAGCAAGCUCCCCGUGCUGCCGCUCGACUUGCAUGUGUUAGGCCUGCCGCCAGCGUUCAAUCUGAACGACAGUACAACUAACUCGACGUACGAGACGGGCGGUCGUCGACGGACGGCGACUAG